AACGUAGGAGGCAAGCGUUAUCCGGAUUUACUGGGCGUAAAGCGUGUGUAGGCGGUUCGGCAAGUUGGAUGUGAAAGCUCCUGGCUUAACUAGGAGAGGUCGUUCAAUACUACCGAACUUGAGGGCAUCAGAGGAAGAUGGAAUUCCCGGUGUAGUGGUGAAAUGCGUAGAUAUCGGGAGGAACACCAGUGGCGAAAGCGGUCUUCUGGGAUGAUCCUGACGCUCAGACACGAAAGCUAGGGUAG
rnacentral:rRNA from 1 species